rnacentral:rRNA from 1 species
AUGGCUCAGGAUGAACGCUAGCUACAGGCUUAACACAUGCAAGCGAGGGGCAGCAUGGAUAGCUGCUAUCCAGAUGGCGACCGGCGCACGGGUGAGUAACGCGUAUCCAACCUUCCCUAUAGUAGAGAAUAGCCCGGCGAAAGUCGGAUUAAUGCUCUAUGUUGUGUUUUGAGGACAUCUGACGAACACCAAAGGUUCACCGCUAUAGGAUGGGGAUGCGUCUGAUUAGCUUGUUGGCGGGGUAACGGCCCACCAAGGCGACGAUCAGUAGGGGUUCUGAGAGGAAGGUCCCCCACAUUGGUACUGAGACACGGACCAAACUCCUACGGGAGGCAGCAGUGAGGAAUAUUGGUCAAUGGGCGAGAGCCUGAACCAGCCAAGUAGCGUGCCAGGACGACUGCCCUAUGGGUUGUAAACUGCUUUUAUCAGGGAGUAAAGUGCGGCACGUGUGCCGUUUUGUAUGUACCUGAUGAAUAAGGACCGGCUAAUUCCGUGCCAGCCGCCGC